GAUUGCCAGGGCUGAUGUUUAGACUACAGUGUGAUUAGAGCCAGGGCUGAUGUUAGACUGGGGCUGAUGUUUUAGGCUACAGUGUGAUUAGACCAGGGCUUGAUGUUAGAACUGGGGCUGAUGUUUAGGCUACAGUGUGAUUAGACCAGGGAUGAUGUUUAGACUACAGUGGAUUAGACCACGAGGCUGAUGUUUAGGACUACAGUGUGUUUGUGUGUGAUUAGACCAGGGCUGAUGUUUAGACUACAGUGUGAUUAGACCAGGGCUGAUGUUAGGCUCAGUGUGUUAGACCAGGUGAUGUUUAGACACAUGUGAUUAGACAGCUGAUUUUAGGUACU
ensembl:lncRNA